ACUGCAGAUACAAAUACACACAUAAGUAAACACAUGCACAGGCACACAAAAACGGCUGACGGUGGGGUGACUGAGUUGCUAGACAGGUUCAGGUGACAAAGCAAUGACAUUUGUUUCCCAGGUCAUGAUAAUUAGGCCGAUCUAACUGGCUCGUUGCACAAGCCGCUCACACACCCGCUGACCUGUCUCCGGCGUCCUUAAGUGUCGAACCACUUAGUCACAUCCGAACUAUGACAUAACCCAUCAUUAAGAACCUCACCGGCUGCACUAUAAAUGGAACAAAACCGACUCCUGUAACAAUGUUCAAAGCCAUGAAAUCACUCUGCUGCUCAGUUUUAAUAGGCUUCCUCUCUGCAGUGCUGCUGCUGUAGAAAGUUUAAUGUAUAAUGUAUAAUGUCUGGCUCACUGCACUCGGUAAGAUCCAGAGAGAGAAACUCCCUGACCUUUGAGCAGCAUUUAGAAACUUGGAAAUUGGAAAGGACAAUUUAGAGCAGAAGAAACCCCACUGGGAAUUACAUGAACCAUGCUCUACCUGAAUGCACAGAGGAAGUGAAUGUAAAAUGCUGUGCAUGCGCUGAUGCAUGCAGGGGUCUCAUGUUUAUGACAUGUAGCAUCUUCUGCACCUGUGCAACAAACACAACAUUUUUCAUGUUUAUAUAAGCAAAAACUAAUUAAUAGAUUCAGAUUUGGAUCGGCGCUGUUUAUGACAGAUAGGGCCGCUUUACACAAAGUUGGAAAAAUAAAAUACCAUUAGUGGGUCGAGCUAAAAAUAGCACAAGGCUGAAAACAUAACAUACUCUGAAAAACGGCUUUCCUUUUACCUAAUUGGUCAGUUGUCCCUCCAGGGUCUCAUGGCAUUUUUUGUUUAAUUAUUGUGGCCCCAUAAACGUAUUUGUAGUUGCUUGUGGCAAUUCAGUUUUCUUCUGCAGUAAAUUCCACUAACUUCCAUUUUAAAAAAAUGCAAGUCAAGUGUAAAAGGUUAUGACUUAAGGAACUCCCUGGCUGUAUGUGUCCCAGAAUAGUGCAGCGGAUACGGGGGGGGACAACAAAUGGUUCACUCCCACUCUCAUGCAGAACAGUGAGGGGUUGUUUUAAGCCAAGCUAGCGUAGCACCAUGGCUCCAGGGGUGGAUAUGUCAGUUUGUUAAUCGGGCCGGCACGUUAGUCCAAACCGAAAUAUCUCAACAUCUACUAAAUGGAUUGGAACAAAGUUAUGCACAGGCAUGCAUGGUACCCAGAGAAUGAAUCCUCAUGAGGUACAAAUUUCAUUUGCCAACACCUAUAAAACUAAUGAUACUCUCAACAGCCUUUUUUUUUCAGUUUCUAGGCAAACAAACAGAGAAUAAUUCCUCAUCCAAUGGGAUCUUCUACAAAAGAGCAGGGAGAAGGUGAGCUGUAGGUCGGUCUCCGUCAGCCCCGCUGAGGACAGCAGGAUCUCGUUGGAGCGCAGGAUCCGCUUGGAGCCCUGAGUAGGCGACAGAAGGAGGAGAAACCGAGAGAGAAGACAAAAGAGAGAACGUCAUGAGAGCAGAGAAAGAAAGUGGGGAGAGAUGGAAAGAUUACUGUGAGCACGCCCCAGCAAACUCCAGCAGAGUCAAAACAAUGAACUCUCAUCAACCGCAUGCAGCGAGGGAACUGUGGGAGCAAAGGAGGUGAAGGAAAAGAGAGAGUUGAAGGAGAGGAAACUGACUGAUAGGAGGGAGCAGAGGAGGAAGAUUGAGCAAGUGGCAGCAACAGCAUGGAAGAAGAAUUAAAACAGCUUAAAGUGUAUUAUGUGCCAAAUACAGCAGAGAAUUUAUUGGUUUACUUAGAUAGGAAACAAGAUGGAGAUGGUGAGGAGAGAAAACAAGCCAAGGAGCAGAAACUGGGAGUCAAGCCACAGCAUUAAAGAGGAAUUUAAACAUCUUAAAUUGUACUAUGUGUCAACAAAGAAUUUGUUGGUGUUCUCUUCAAUUAUAGACAAGAUGGAGAUAACAGUGAACAAAUGAAAAGUGCAACACAGCAGGAGAGCUGGAGAAAUAAAAGAAUAAGACCAAAUCUGACAAUACACAUAGUAUUUUUUGAGGUAAUCCAUGUAAACCUUUACAAACUUGGCAGUCAGAAAGCUGUUAAUUGGCAAGAAAUUGAAUACUGGACCAAGAAACAUUAAAAGAGGCUCCCUUCAAGUAAAAGGAAAAAACUAAUUUAGACUGUGUAGGAGUUGCAGAAAGUACUUUGGCUGUAAACCAAGAGGAGUGUCCAAAUCCAAUGACCUGACUCGACAAAACAAUGAAAAAAAAUGGAAAAAACGCUAAAAUUUUUUUGUUUAUUCAGCAACAUUUCAACAUCUACUGGGUUGGCACACUCAAUGUGAAAUUCAAGUCCUAAUACAAUUUUGCUGAAUGAAUGAAAUAAAAAAAAACUGUUGACUAAUAGGACUUAAUUAAAUCACAUGUUACAAAGAUUAAUUCAUUAAACAUAAAAAAAAACUUCUUCCCUGUAGUCAGGUGUUGGUACUGGACUCAUAAAAGUUUGACCGAAAUUAUGUUUUAUGCUUAUUGCGAGAUCACAAAAUAACGCAAUCUCGAGAGAAUCCAUCGUGUCAGGUUUCAAGAAGAAGGCUGUAGUAGGAUUUGUGUUUUCAUUGACUGGCUGUAGAGAUUUUAUGGUACCUGCAGCUUGACAGCGAUGACCACAGAGGUGAGGUCUUUAUCCAGCUCCUUCAGCAUGAUCAGCUUCUUCAGAGUCAGGUUGAACAGCCUGUGGUCAAACACAAAGAGGACUCGGAUUAGAAGAAGAAUAAAUAAACUGAACUUCUUUACACUCAUUAGAAAUCACCUACUCAGAUUUUUGCUCUCAUUAUUUCCCUACUUAAGCAACCCCCUGUGAUGAACAUUAGUUCAGCUUGGAAAGUGCAAAAUAGAUGAGAAACUGUCAAAAAAAAGAAAGAGAAGAAAGCUUCCCAGUGAAAUAUCUGCAGCUUCAAAUUCAAAGACAACCGAAACGAACAUCUCGAAUGCAAUACAUUUUUGAUUGAUGAUGCAUAAACAAAGCUUUGCUGCGUAUUAUUGCAACUGCAAACAAUAUAAAAGCACUAAAGGUAAAAGUAAAGCAACUCAAAACUUUUUAAACCUCUAUAUCUUUUGCUCCAUAACAACUAAAAUUCCAAACUGUGUAACUGAGCGGUUACAGGUUGGAAAAAUCCUCAAAGAAACAAUCACAGACUCGACCCCAAGAAUAGUCAUUUGUGCCCUCUGUAAAAUAAAAAGAGUCGCUGCACCUUCAUAAGUCAAGUGUUGGAUAAGAGAAACAGCUGAAGAUAAAACUAAAAAAUGCAAAAUGAAGGAGAAGACUUCGGCAAUUCGAUCCAUGUACAUGUUGCACUGUUGUAUUAGCCUGCAUUAGUUUUCGCUAGGUGUACCUAAAUGUAAUAAAAACAGAGUAAAUGGGGCAUUCUGGACGCUCAGCUGUACCAAGUUGAACCAAAUGUAUGCAUCAUGUCAUGGGCUCAAAAUGAGCCUAUAACCCUGUUAAUGUGUCAUCUCCUUUCUGCUUCAAAUUCACUUUCUGACUCUCCAGUGGACGAUCAAAUGAAGCAAAAAUAGAAUAAAAAGUGACACAUGAAGAGGCCUUUA